UAUUAGGUUGGUGCAAAAGUAAUUGCGGUUUUGCCAUUAAAAUUAGUGGCAAAAACAGCAAUUACUUUUGCACCAACCUAAUA
rnacentral:pre_miRNA from 1 species